CUGGUGUCAGCCGCCGCGGUAAUACCAGCACCCCGAGUGGUCGGGACGAUUAUUGGGCCUAAAGCAUCCGUAGCCGGUUCUGCAAGUCCCCCGUUAAAUCCAGCUGCCCAACAGAUGGGCCGCGGAGGAUACUACAGAGCUAGGAGGCAGGAGAGGCAAGCGGUACUCAGUGGGUAGGGGUAAAAUCCGUUGAUCCAUUGAAGACCACCAGUGGCGAAGGCGGCUUGCCAGAAUGCGCUCGACGGUGAGGGAUGAAAGCUGGGGGAGCAAACCGGAUUAGAUACCCGGGUAGUCCCAGCCGUAAACGAUGCAGACUCGGUGAUGGGUUGGCUUCGCGCUAACCCAGUGCCGCAGGGAAGCCGUUAAGUCUGCCGCCUGGGUAGUACGGUCGCAAGACUGAAACUUAAAG
rnacentral:rRNA from 2 species